rnacentral:misc_RNA from 1 species
AAGUCGUAACAAGGUUUCCGUAGGUGAACCUGCGGAAGGAUCAUUAUCGAAUGUAUCUACAAGUCGGUUGUAGCUGGCUCUCUGGAGCAGGUGCUCGCCGCUUGUCUUUACUACCUUUCCACUUUGUGAACCUUUGUAGACCUCGAAUGAAGUCGCCUGAAAUGGUGGACCAAAGGGAACUGUCCUCGGGCAUUCCCUUGAUUAGUAGUAGUAGUUCGUGGUCUAUGUCCUUAUCAUUUACUCUUGACUGAAUGUUAUUGAAUGUGAAUUUACUGGUCUCUUCUGGACCUUUAAAACUUUAUACAA